GGGUCGGCUGGCACAGUCGGCUCUGCCUGGAGCUGAGUUUCUGCAAGCCUCACUGAAUCCCCAGAACCUGCUCCACGCCGAACCCUCGCCAGGGGUUUGCUUUGGGGCUCCGGGGUGGGGUGACCGGUAAUUUGACUCUCGGGAGUAAAGCCCAGUUCUGAUCAGCGUUUGCCCCCACCGCAGGGACAGUAAUGCACAGCACUAAAGAUGAUGCAAUCAUUGUGCCGCAGCCACCUAUACAGAGAUGUUUCCUGUUCCUCAGAUCUCUUCUGUUACCAAGGGGCUGCGGGGGCCAGAUGGCCUCCCGCCGACGGUUAUUUUAGUCCAGUGAACGUGCCCUGUUACGUCAGCGCGACGCAGGCUCUGUCCCAAGGAACGCGUGCAUCUGUCUCCAGCUCCAUCGGAGUGGUCUCAGAUCGAGGUUCACAAUUCACUUCCUGGUUUUGGCGUGAACUUUGCAGAGUCCUAGGAAUGGAAUCACUUACCUCCUUGGCCUAUCGCCCGCAGACCAACGGGCAGGCAGAACGAACAAACCAGAUCCUCGAGCAAUACCUCCAUGGCUUUCUCACUUAUCGCCAAGCUGACCAGGUGAUCCUCCUGCCAUAUGCAGAGUUUGCGUACAACUCCUCCACCCAUGCAUCUGCGGACACAGCCCAUUCUAUGCAACCUACAGUUUCCACCCUCAACUUUAUUCGGCUGCACCUCCAGACUCCCAAGUCCUUGCUACAGCAGAUGUAGUUGCCCACUUCCACCAGGUCCACCAAGAGCUUACCGAACACACUGAAGCCACCAAACAUCAUAGUGACUGAAAACGCCAAGUCACACCAACCUUAUCUGUAGAAGAUAACGUCUGGUUAUCCUCAGAACACCUAAAUUCCACCCGUCCUUCAGCUAAAUUAGUACCUAGUCCUGUUUAAGAUGGCGGAACAAAUUAACCAUGUAGCAUUUAGGCUCCAGUUGCCAGACUCCUUCAAGGUCCACCUCAUCUUCCACAUGUCUGAAACCUUAGAUGGAGAAUCCAUUUCCCAGAUGCGCUGCUUCACCACAACUUUCCUUAGUUGUCCAGGACCAAAAGGAAUAUUAAGGUCUUGGAAAUUCUAGACUCCGAGCAAGUUCAAGGCCAACUCUCUUAUCUGGUAGACUGUGAGGGCUAUGGACUGGACCAGGGCUGGCCUUACCAUGAGGCCAACUGAGGUGGCUGCCUCAGGUGCCAGACUGUGGGGGGCACCACUAGGACCCAGAGUGUAGAAAAUUGUGUCUGCUGCUGGUGCAUAUGUAUUCUCUCUGCUCUAGAUGCACAGAGAUGGUGGAGUACAUUGCUGGAGGAGGGAGGGUACAGGAGACAUAACAGGCAGGCAGGAGAAAACGUGAGAGGGAAUAACAGAAAGCAGCAGGAGCUGCAGGGAGAGAGAGAAGGAGGAGCAUCUUAUGUACCUCUCUGGCACCCCCAGGAGCCUGGACUGAUUAACACCAGCUUCUCAGGGAGCUUCCUGUUUCCCGCUGCUUCCCUGAACCCACUUGAGGAGAACAGGCAGUCAGCUGAAGUAGUAGGAGCCAGUCAGGCCCUUAAGACACUGAUAUCUUCCCUCACUCAGGCCCUGCUACCAGCCUGCUUAUUUGUCCCCUUCAACUGAGUGUUGAGAGCCACUCGAGCUGGCACAGAACAGCAGUCAUGAGCGAAAGAAGAAAACGCCCCUCUGGGGCAGCAUUCAGAAAAAGAAAGAAAGCAAAGGAAGCUUUUCUGUCUAAGCAGGGAGGUGCUCUCCUGAGAUACAUUGACACAAAUGUUCACGGUGAGCCUUCCGGCCCCAGUGAGGAUGAGAGUGGUGAGCAGAUGCCUGAUCUUCCAGUUAGCCAGAGUGCAGGUGACCUGGCAGCUAGUGCAGCAUCCAUAUCUCCAUCUCAAAUGGAUAUAGCCCUGCACAUUCCUGAAGAAAGAUGUAGAUCAGAGAAGAGUGUGGUGGAGGCAUAAGAAACAGCUGCUGCUGAGUUUAGUUCCUUAAGUCUGGAUGAUCCAGGACUAUGGACCCACUACAGCAGUAGCCUGAGGGACUUCCUUGUACUGCCUGGGCCACAGCAAGUGAAAAACUUCAUGUUCCUCAAAGACAAUGAAAAUAGAAAUUUCCAUCUAACACAUUACUGGUGUGAAAUCCCCAAUAGCAACAAAGUGAAGAGGCCAUAGCUUAUGUACUAAAAAACCCAGAAUGCUGCAUAUUGUUUUUGUUGCAAAUUCUUCCAGUCUAAUGUUCCAGCCACAUUGGAUUCUACAGAAAUAGAGGGCUGGAAAAAUCUGGCUAGAAAUCUGGCAUGCCAUGAGAAGGCAGCGAAUCACCAGAGAGCAUUCCAUAGGUGGAAAGAGCUUGAGAUGAGACUAAGGUUAAAGGCCAUCAUAGAUGAUCAGCAUCAAGAGAAGAUUGCAUCAGAGUCUCUUUACUGGCAAAAUGUUCUGAAAAGAUCAUUGCCAUUGUGAGAAUGCUUGCUAACCAAAACCUAGCACUGAAAGGCACUUCAGAUCAGCUGUAUGUGCCAAACAAUGGAAACUUCCUUAAAAUUGUGAAGCUGAUAGCUGAGUUUGAUGCUGUACUCCAGGAGCAUCCAAGAAGAGUCCCCCCCCAAGAAAUGUACACACACCACUACUUUGGAAAAACUAUUCAAAAUGAGAUCACACAGUUACUGGCAACAAAAGUCAGACAGAAAAGUGUGGCAGAUCUGAAGUCAGCAAGAUAUUACUCUGUUAUUCUGGACUGCACAGCUGACAUCAGCCAUACGGAACAAAUGACUUUAAUGGUGCGUUUUGUAACAGAACCUAGUGAAAAUGUCCCUGCAAUGGUGACUGUCAGAGAGCAUUUUCUAUAAUUUAUUGACAUGGAUGAUACUACAGGAGCUGGUAUGACAAAUGUGCUUCUUAAAAAGCUGGAACAUAUGGAAAUUGCGAUAGCUGACAUGAGAGGUCAGGGCUACGAUAAUGGUGCCAACAUGAGAGGAAAGAACAGAGGAGCGCAGACACGGAUCCGAGAGUUAAACCCUGGAGCUUUUUUUGUCCCAUGCAGUUCUCAUUCAUUGAACUUGGUGGUCAGUCAUGCAGCAUCAGCUUCUAGUGAGGCUGCUGAAUUUUUUAAUGUAAUUCAAAGCAACUAUGUAUUUUUCUCUGCAUCAGCUCAUCGAUGGCAAAUUUUGAAGCAACAUCUGGGAACAUCCUCUCUGACACUGAAACCACUGAGAGCCACACGAUGGGAAAGUCGAGUGGAGGUGAUAAAGCCUAUCAAACCCCAAAUUGGGAAACUAGGUGAUGCCAUAGUUUCCAUUCUGGAGGAUAAUGCUAUGACAGGAACUGUUUGUGGGAGAACAGUGGCAGAGGGAAAUGAAUCAUCAGAAACAUACAGAACUUCACAUUUCUGUGUGGCUUAGUGUUGUGGCAUGACAUACUGUUUGAAAUAAAUGUUGUAAGCAAGAGACUCCAAGGUGUUGACCUUGAUAUAUCUGGAGCGAUGGAACAACUGGACAAAGCAAUGUCAUAUCUACAGUCUUACCGGUCAGAUGAGGGAUUUCAAAACGUUCUGAAGAGUGCACAGAAGUUGGCAGAGGAACUUCACACUGAAGCUAUUUUCCCACCAUUUAAGAAUACAAGAGUCACCGAAGAAGAAGACAUUUUGAUUACGAGGCACAGGAUAAUCCCAUAAGAGACCCCCAAAAACAAUUCAAAGUUGAAUUCUUUAACUAGGUGCCAGAUUGUGCAAUAAAGUCAGUUGAAGAACGUUUCAUGCAGCUCAAGGAACACAGAAAUAUAUUUGAGAUGUUCUAUGAUACUCUAAAACUUCUCACUAUACCUGAAGAAGACCUCCACCAGCACUGCAGGGAACUAGAGACAGUGUUGACACGUGAUGACAUGCACGAUAUUGAUGCGAGUGAUGUAGGUGAUGAACUGAAAGCCCUUUCAAGAUACAUUUCAGCAGAAUCAACUCCAAAGGCUGUCCUGGAAUACAUGUGCACAAAUAAGAUGACCACCCUCUUUCCAAAUGCUUUUCUUGCUCUGCGCAUACUUCUAACACUUCCUGUAAUGGUUGCCAAUGGAGAACGCAGCUUCUCCAAGCUGAAGUUAAUAAAAGACACAUCUACGCUCCACAAUGACACAGGAGAGGCUGGUCGACCUUGCAACCAUCUCCAUAGCGCAUGAGCUGGUCCAGGCUGUGAACCUUCAGGAAGCAGUUCAAAUCUUUGUAACCAAGUUGGCAUGGAAAGCACCACUUAGAUUAUUCAAACAGAUAAAAAUGCCGGUGUUUACUAUGCAGACAAGAAAAGUUACAUUUGCUGUUCAGGAGUUUGAAAGUUAAGUGACACUCCUGUGGCACCUUAUAGACUAACAGACAUAUUGGAGCAUAAGCUUUUAUGGGUGAAUACCCACUUUGUCACCCACAAAAGCUUAUGCUCCAAUAUGUCUCUUAGUCUAUAAGGUGCCACAGGACUCUUUGUCACUUCUUGCAGAUCCGGACUAACACGGCUACCCCUCUGAUACUUGAAAGUUAAGUGUUAACUUAAAAUUUUUGAACAAGGCAUUUUAAGUUGUUGGUUCUCCUGUAUUGGGGUAGGCAGCGGAGCAGCACCACGAGAGGAGUAGAACAGGAAGAAGGCAGAAUUGAGACCUCUCAAAGUUUUGGCCCAAGCAAGGGGGCAUGGAAGUGUCAUUUGAGCUCCCCACCUCAGGUACCAAAAUGUUGUGGGCCGGCCGUGAACUGGAAGAGCGAUUGUGGAAGGCGAUAGAAAACAUUCAUGCUCCAGAACUCUGAGGUGCCUUCCAUGAGAAAUAACCCCUGGAACCAUGUCCUGUGGCCCCUCGCAGGUGCCUGUGCUAGGAGGAUACUAUCAGGGGCCAGCCUGCAGCAGAGUCAGUCUCCUGGCAACCCAAUGAGUGCAGCUGGUCCAAAAGAAGCUGGACCACCCAACUGUCUGCAGGAGUCUGCAGGCUGAUACUUAAGCUGAAUAGCAGCAGCAGCCCAGUGGCCACCCACUACAUUCCUAGCCCUCAGCGGCACGUGGUCCUGUCCCUGUCUCCACUGCCUCUAGCCUUGCUCCUGCCCCAGCCUCCCGCUCCUUCAUGACCCCUGACUCCCAGCUCAGACCCUCGGCUCCCUCUCCUGACCACGACUCUGGCUAAGGCUUUGGGCUCUGACUCCUAGCCAGGCUACGAGCCUUGGCUUCGCUCCUGAACCUGCCCACCUGGAUUCAGACCUAACUGGUAGGCCAGACUCUUGCUCCAACCACUAGACCAGACAGCCAACAGCUCGGUCACUGACAACCAGGGAUCUUGAAAGGUGUGUUGUGAGGGGUGUUGAUCAUUGCAGCAGUGAAGCUAUGGCUGCACGUUUUGCAUCUGUUGUUCUGGCAGAGCCUGGUGCCACUUGGAGUCAGUGUGUCCUGGUCUGUGGGGCACUUCCUUUUUAUGAUGGGCUUAGCGAGGUUGGGGGGUUGUUUGAAGGCCAGAGGAAAGGGUUUGGGAAAGAGUUCUUUCAGGAUGUGGGCCCCAUCGAGCAUGGGUUGUAAUUGUUUGGUGAUACCCUAUAUGGGUUCCUGUGUGGGACGGUAGGUGACAAAUCGGGGUGUGUGGUCAGAGGCCUCCCCCUCCCCCCCGGUCCUGUAUUGAAGCACAUUCUCUUGGGGCAUUUAGGGGCCUUGAUCCGUGAUAUAAUUGCAGUUCCUUGAAGGCUGUUUGGCACAGGCUGUUUUGGUUACUGGGAAAGCACUCGGCCCAAUGGAAGGAGAUUUUCUCUCCAAAUCAAAAUAAACAUGAAAGUAUAAUAA